UAGAGCCCGUGCUCCGCAACAGGAGAGGCCACCGCAAUGAAAAGCCCGCGUAUCUCAAGAAAGAGCAGCCCCCGCUCGCUGCUUCUGGCCGGGAGGUCUGGAGUCGUAGGUGUUUCAGGGUUCCUACUUGGAAGGCCUAGGAGGCUAAAGCUUUUCUGCAAACAGAUGCGAGGGACAUGGAGCGGUCUGUCCCAGG